UAUCCAGCGGCUCAGAAGCGCUCUGACUGCAUUCACUACAGAGUCCUACACAGCCAAGGACCUGUGCACACUGCUGCUGCAAGACACACUGUGGAUAGUGCAACACGGACAACUUUCUGCUGAUUUUCUGAGAGGAUCUGAUCGUUUGGAUUAUAAUCUUUAAGGACUUGUACUAUCACCGAAUCAUUGUCUUAAUCGCGCGUAAUUCUAGAAGCUGUGGGUUAUUGUGUUUGAGGUUUCAGUAAACUGGGCAGAAGUUUAAAGCCAUUUGUAACAGGGUGAAGGACAAGUGCAAUGCGCGUCGGUUUCGUCUCUGGGGAUUGUCCCACUUGCGCCUGAGGAGCUACAUGUCAUGCUGCUUCACAGAGCGUGUCCAAUGUGAAUAACAAGAGACAGCUUUCAGCCUCUCCACAUUUGCAGCUAUACAAGUGUAACCGGGAGACCGAUCGAGUGCACCGAGCAGCUCUGACACCCCGGGUUCUCUCCCCGGGCUGGGGAUGGUUGUGGAUCCUGUGGGGCCAGGAGCGAUUCUGCGGCUCCUACAGAACAGCACCUUUUUCUUAUUUGGGGUUAAAUCAAAAUUAAAGGGAGAUGAGAGUCGCACUUUGUUACUUCCUGCUGUGGACGACGUACCUGCUGGCCACCACUGAGGAAGUGGAGUUUCCCCAGGAGCUGAUAGACAGAUUGUCGCACAGUGAAAUCCACAGCAUCAGCGACCUCCAGCGGCUACUGGACAUUGACUCCGUAGGUACGGGAAACGAUGUCAUCGAGGAGCCCAAACAUCACAAGUACCACAACCAUCAUAAGAACUUCUCCCGUCAUCAUGGUUACUACAACGGCCUGAAGAGCUCCCAGCUCCACAGCCGACGCAAGAGGAGCCUUGUGGAGGAGGCGGUCCCGGCGGUGUGUAAGACGCGGACGGUGAUCUACGAGAUCCCCAGGAGCCAGGUGGAUCCGACGUCUGCCAACUUCCUGAUAUGGCCGCCCUGCGUGGAGGUGAAGCGCUGCACAGGCUGCUGCAACACGAGCAACAUGCGCUGUCACCCUUCCCGCAAGCACCACCGCACCGUUAAGGUAGCAAAGGUGGAGUACGUGAGGAGGAGACCCAAGCUGAAAGAGGUCUUUGUGCGGUUAGAAGACCACCUGGAGUGUGUGUGCACGUCACAACAUCACGUGGUGGAGCACUCAGAUGCAGAACCAGGCCACCAUAGGGCUAAAGGUAAAAAAAGGAAACCUAAAAAGCUAAGACCCAGCAAGGAUUUAUUGGCAACAUAAUAAAGUUGCACUCAUUACCCAAAGUCCACUGGAGAGCUGUGAAGGGAACAGUGGACGUGAGGUGAGACCAAUCAGAACAAGGGGACUUCAGCGUGGGAGGGACCUAAAUAGCGGACACCACCAACAGGAGACCUGCUCUGUCCUCUUCCCUACUGCCAUGCAACCUUCGUUUAAACAAACACAAACUUUUCUGUAAAGAUGUCAGAUCGACUAUAGACGUAAAAACGUAAAUAAAUAAGAUGCCAAAGGUGCUUUUUCUUAAAACAUUAACCAGUGACUUCCUCUGUGGUACGCCACCUCUCCGGACAACUGAUCCCUGCCGCUGACUGAGCAGAAGAUUGGCGUAGAGCUCGGCGGGGCAGAAAGAGGCCGAGGGGAGAUGUUGAAAGGGAUUUUUGUUGAACAUUUUGAUUGACUUUCUUCCAAGACGGAUCACAGACAUGGCUAUGAAACAGGUUGAAGAAGUUUUUUUUCUGUGGGCAUCUGGUGCUCCAGAUUUCAAAACAGUGCCGGCUGUGGAUGAGCUCCAACAUAAAGGUGCCUGCCCUGCUUGAAUGACUCUGGCACUCACUGAAGACAGACGGAGGGACGGAAGACAAUGAAAAGAAAGACAGACGGCGAGAGACAAUUUGAGGUGUUUUCUAUAAAGACUCAAUGGAGUAUCAAACAUUUUGAGUUUUGGAUAUGUACUCUAAGUAAAGAGGACGUGCUCCAUGACCUUGUGACUUUUACACUUGCUUUGUACAGUUCAAUUUGAGAAGGAAGACGCGCCGCUACUUACAAACUAUUUAUCUGUGUGGACGUUUGCUUUCUGUCUCUUCCGGCAUAAAAGAAAGAAAGAACAAAAAAGAUGUUUUAAUGAUUUUGGAGACAUGCAAAACUGUGUGGUCUGUGAGGUCCAGUUCAGUUCUUUGUAACCAUCACAAUCCCAUUGUCAUCUUUUUUUAGUUAAUGUUAUUCAUGUCAUCCAUGUUUCUUAUUAUAUUACAGUAUAUUUGAAUGUCAAGUCUUGUAUAUGGUUUGGAUAUAUGUGUGCAAGGAGGAGAUGUGAGAGUCAGUACAGGAAGAUGCUUUAUUUUUGUUAUGAAAUAUAUCAAGCUUACAUAUAUCCAA